AUGACGUUUUAUAUUAAUUUGAUACGGCUCUACCAGAACAUUCAAUUGAUCAAACCAUAAAUUUCAUUCAGUCUCACUACGACUUUACAUUCGUACCAUGAUCGAACUAAAAUCUCUACUACUAAUAAACAAUCAAACAUAAACUUUUUUAAACGCACCCCACAAAUAUACACGAAUCUAUUACCACCGCAGGAUUAAGCCUAUUAAACUCAAUCCAACCGCUAACCUUGAUCUAAUCCAUUCUCUGUAUGUACUUAACAAUUGACCGCGCUCCACUCCGCGUCCGCAACCUCUCUUUCGUGAUUAGCGCCCACCUCUCCACUCAAUCCCUUCCCCGGUAGGAACUUCCCCGGUAGGAAGUAGAGUAGGAACCCUCCCGCCGCUACUAGGGAUAUGCAAGCCACCGUCGGGGUCCUCGCGGACACACGAGAUGCCUGCCGUCACCACGCACACGAGCCACGGUGGGGGAGAGAGGGAGAAGUGCCCAGCCAUGGCAAGGCGUCGGUCAUCCGGCGAGCGUGGAGAAAUUGGGACAGGGGGCGCCCGAUGUGGCGUCUGGUGGCGGGGCUAAGAAGGGGGCGGCAGAUCUGGCCGGAGCUGUGCACGUGGUGCGGCGAUUGUGGUCCGCGCGUGCUGCUCGUGGUAGGGACAAAGCGGCGGUCGCUGGCCUUAUCCGCUGCCCCUUUGAGGACUGCGUCGUGCAUGCCCCACCGAGUACUACCAGGUCGCCGGCGGCACGCGCUCCCCUCACCCUGCCUGAUGUAACCGGUGACUACCCUACCCCGUCGCCGGCAGACUAGACGGCCUGGGCGCGGGCGGUAGGCACCGCCAGCAGCCCAGCACUCCAAUCUCCGCCGACACCGUGGUCUAAAUGACGCCGCAGACGAGUCCCCUUAGAACGACCCAUCCUGGACGAUAUAAUAUGUGAUGGUAGUGUGUUGUGUACAAACAGGUUCAAGCAUAAUCAUGGUGAUAUGAUUAUAUGGAGUAGAAGGGAGGAAGUUGUGUCUCAUCAGCAUUGUGUUCUGCAUCUAUAUAAAGCACAUCCAAGAAUCACUGUCCAAGGUCUCUCUUUCGAUUGAUAGCAUCGGUAGCAGGAUAUAACAUCAGGUUACAGCCUUUGUGGUACAGGAAGGACCGAAGGAGGAAGUUGGUGAGAUACAGAGGGAAGUUGAAUUGGGACGAGGGAUAGAGAUACAACCAGCAAAUGCGCCGAGGAACAGUAAGGUAUGUGAUAUUUAGAGUUCUGCUCAUCCAUGUCCACUUUAGUCCAUCAAACCAUCUCACACCCGCUUCUCUUUGUCAGCUAACUCAGUAAGUAUUCUUCAGGUGCUAUUUUCUUCACCAGUUAACUCCUUCAAGUAUGCUUUCUUGUCAUCAGUACACACAGCCUCCUAUUGCAGGUCUCUAACACUUUCGCCCAAUGGUCCGAUGCAGACUUAUACUGACAUUAUCAAGAGAAAGAAUACGUUGAUGUAGCAUAUUUGCACUGUUCAUGUACAACUGAAAGUGACUAAACUCUAUUGUUUUUUGCCCUUGCCAACUUAAUACAGUAUAGUUCCGAUUCAUCUAAAUUGAGUCAGAGAUUAACUGAUGAUUUCUUCGCAAUUGCUGCAUCAAAUCAUCUAAAAGAAACUAAAAACUUUCUUAUCCUUCUUAUCCGACUAAUAAUAUCCAUUUUCAUUUUUUUAUUAUAUACUCAUAUUUGUUGUUGGUUGUAGUCUUCUUUUCUUAACUUUUUUACACUAGAGUACCAUGCCUUUUUUUGUCCAUUGGAAAGGCUUUGUACUACUUAAUGUUAUAGGCCAGGUGUUUGUGUUUUACCCCAACUGAUAUAUGUCAUAUAUAUAUAUAUAUAUACCAGGAAAUAAGUUUUUUUCCUUUGUAUUAUUCUUGUGUUAUGAAGGUAUAAGAAUGGAUGAAUGGCCACAAAGAUCAAAUAGUGAUAAUUAAUUGCCAAAAAAAAGCUUCAGGACAACACUAGAUAUUGUCAUG